GAUGAACGCUAGCGGCAGGCCUAAUACAUGCAAGUCGAACGAGAUUGAGGAGCUUGCUCCUCAUGAAAGUGGCGCACGGGUGCGUAACGCGUAUGCAAUCUACCUUAAUCAGGGGGAUAGCCCGGAGAAAUCCGGAUUAAUACCGCAUAACGUUAUUUUAUGGCAUCAUAGAAUAACCAAACAUUUAUGGGAUUAAGAUGAGCAUGCGUGACAUUAGUUAGUUGGUGAGGUAACGGCUCACCAAGACUACGAUGUCUAGGGGAUCUGAGAGGAUGACCCCCCANACUGGUACUGAGACACGGACCAGACUCCUACGGGAGGCAGCAGUAAGGAAUAUUGGUCAAUGGGCGCAAGCCUGAACCAGCCAUGCCGCGUGCAGGAAGACGGCCCUAUGGGUUGUAAACCGCUUUUAUCGGGAAUAAACCUCUUUACGUGUAAGGAGCUGAAUGUACCGAAGGAAUAAGGAUCGGCUAACUCCGUGCCAGCAGCCG
rnacentral:rRNA from 1 species